AUGCUCAGGAUGAACGCUGGCGGCGUGCCUAAUACAUGCAAGUCGAGCGAAUGAUGAGGAGCUUGCUCCUCUGAUUUAGCGGCGGACGGGUGAGUAACACGUGGGUAAUCUGCCUGUAAGACGGGGAUAACUCCGGGAAACCGGGGCUAAUACCGGAUAAUAAGAGAAGAAGCAUUUCUUCUUUUUGAAAGUUGGUUUCGGCUAACACUUACAGAUGAGCCCGCGGCGCAUUAGCUAGUUGGUGAGGUAACGGCUCACCAAGGCGACGAUGCGUAGCCGACCUGAGAGGGUGAUCGGCCACACUGGGACUGAGACACGGCCCAGACUCCUACGGGAGGCAGCAGUAGGGAAUCUUCGGCAAUGGGCGAAAGCCUGACCGAGCAACGCCGCGUGAGCGAUGAAGGCCUUCGGGUCGUAAAGCUUCUGUUGUUAGAGAAGAACAAGUACGAGAGUAACUGCUCGUACCUUGACGG
rnacentral:rRNA from 1 species